GAUGAAGAACGUAGCGAAAUGCGAUAAGUAAUGUGAAUUGCAGAAUUCAGUGAAUCAUCGAAUCUUUGAACGCACAUGGCGCCCGCCAGUAUUCUGGCGGGCAUGCCUGUCUGAGCGUCAUUUCAACCCUCAUGCCCCUAGGGCGUGGUGUUGGGGAUCGGCCAAAGCCCGCGAGGGACGGCCGGCCCCUAAAUCUAGUGGCGGACCCGUCGUGGCCUCCUCUGCGAAGUAGUGAUAUUCCGCAUCGGAGAGCGACGAGCCCCUGCCGUUAAACCCCCAACUUUCCAAGGUUGACCUCAGAUCAGGUAGGAAUACCCGCUGAACUUAAGCAUAUCAAUAAGCGGAGGA
rnacentral:misc_RNA from 1 species